rnacentral:rRNA from 1 species
UACAGAGGGUGCGAGCGUUGUUCGGAAUUAUUGGGCGUAAAGGGCGCGUAGGCGGUGCCACAAGUCACCUGUGAAAUCCCCGGGCUUAACUCGGGGCCUGCAGGCGAAACUGUGGUGCUGGAGUAUGGGAGAGGUGCGUGGAAUUCCCGGUGUAGCGGUGAAAUGCGUAGAGAUUUGGAGGAACACCAGUGGCGAAGGCGACUUCUGGUCUGUAACUGACACUGAGGCGCGAAAGCGUGGGGAGCAAACAGG